rnacentral:rRNA from 1 species
AGUGAACGCUGGCGGUAGGCCUAACACAUGCAAGUCGAACGGCAGCACAGUAAGAGCUUGCUCUUACGGGUGGCGAGUGGCGGACGGGUGAGGAAUACAUCGGAAUCUACUUUUUCGUGGGGGAUAACGUAGGGAAACUUACGCUAAUACCGCAUACGACCUACGGGUGAAAGCAGGGGAUCUUCGGACCUUGCGCGAUUGAAUGAGCCGAUGUCGGAUUAGCUAGUUGGCGGGGUAAAGGCCCACCAAGGCGACGAUCCGUAGCUGGUCUGAGAGGAUGAUCAGCCACACUGGAACUGAGACACGGUCCAGACUCCUACGGGAGGCAGCAGUGGGGAAUAUUGGACAAUGGGCGCAAGCCUGAUCCAGCCAUGCCGCGUGGGUGAAGAAGGCCUUCGGGUUGGAAAGCCCUUUUGUUGGGAAAGAAAAGCAGCAGGUUAAUACCCCGCUGUUCUGACGGUACCCAAAGAAUAAGCACCGGCUAACUUCGUG